GACGAACGCUGGCGGCGUGCCUAACACAUGCAAGUCGAACGGGGUUGAGUGCUUCGGUAUUCAGCUUAGUGGCGAACGGGUGAGUAACGCGUGAAGAACCUGCCUUUCAGUGGGGGACAACAGUUGGGAACGACUGCUAAUACCGCAUGACACUUCUGAGUGGCAUCACUUAGAAGUCAAAGCUUUAUGUGCUGAAAGAUGGCUUCGCGUCUGAUUAGCUAGAUGGCGGGGUAAGGGCCCACCAUGGCGACGAUCAGUAGCCGGUCUGAGAGGAUGAACGGCCACAUUGGGACUGAGAUACGGCCCAGACUCCUACGGGAGGCAGCAGUGGGGAAUAUUGGGCAAUGGGGGAAACCCUGACCCAGCAACGCCGCGUGAAGGAAGAAGGCCUUCGGGUUGUAAACUUCUUUUACCAGGGUACGAAGGACGUGACGGUACCUGGAGAAAAAGC
rnacentral:rRNA from 1 species